GACGGAGGAUGCAAGCGUUAUCCGGAAUUAUUGGGCGUAAAGCGUCCGCAGGUGGACAUACAAGUCUGCCGUGAAAGUGCAGAGCUUAACUCUGUAAAGGCGGUGGAAACUGUAGGUCUUGAGUAUGGUAGGGGUAGAGGGAAUUCCCGGUGUAGCGGUGAAAUGCGUAGAUAUCGGGAAGAACACCAGUGGCGAAAGCGGCGCACUGGACCAUAACUGACGCUGAGGCGCGAAAGCUAGGGGAGCAAACAGG
rnacentral:rRNA from 1 species